GACGAACGCUGGCGGCGUGCUUAACACAUGCAAGUCGAACGGAAAGGCCCUGCUUUUGUGGGGUGCUCGAGUGGCGAACGGGUGAGUAACACGUGAGUAACCUGCCCUUGACUUUGGGAUAACUUCAGGAAACUGGGGCUAAUACCGGAUAGGAGCUCCUGCUGCAUGGUGGGGGUUGGAAAGUUUCGGCGGUUGGGGAUGGACUCGCGGCUUAUCAGCUUGUUGGUGGGGUAGUGGCUUACCAAGGCUUUGACGGGUAGCCGGCCUGAGAGGGUGACCGGACAAAUUGGGACGGAGAUACGGCCCAGACUCGUACGGGAGGCAGCAGUGGGGAAGAUUGCACAAUGGGCGGAAGCCUGAUGCAGCAACGCCGCGUGCGGGAUGACGGCCUUCGGGUUGUAAACCGCUGUCGCCUGUGACGAAGCGUGAGUGACGGUAAUGGGUAAAGAAGCACCGGCUAACUACGUG
rnacentral:rRNA from 1 species